AGAGUUUGAUCAUGGCUCAGAACGAACGCUGGCGGCAGGCUUAACACAUGCAAGUCGAACGCAUCCUUCGGGGUGAGUGGCAGACGGGUGAGUAACGCGUGGGAACGUGCCCUUCAGUUCGGAAUAACCCAGGGAAACUUGGGCUAAUACCGGAUACGUGCGAGAGCAGAAAGAUUUAUCGCUGAAGGAUCGGCCCGCGUCUGAUUAGCUAGUUGGUGAGGUAAUGGCUCACCAAGGCGACGAUCAGUAGCUGGUCUGAGAGGAUGAUCAGCCACAUUGGGACUGAGACACGGCCCAAACUCCUACGGGAGGCAGCAGUGGGGAAUAUUGGACAAUGGGCGCAAGCCUGAUCCAGCCAUGCCGCGUGAGUGAUGAAGGCCUUAGGGUUGUAAAGCUCUUUCGUCCGGGACGAUAAUGACGGUACCGGAAGAAGAAGCCCCGGCUAACUUCGUGCCAGCAGCCGCGGUAAUACGAAGGGGGCUAGCGUUGUUCGGAAUCACUGGGCGUAAAGGGCGCGUAGGCGGCUUGAUAAGUCGGGGGUGAAAAGCCUGUGGCUCAACCACAGAAUUGCCUUCGAUACUGUCUGGCUUGAGACCGGAAGAGGUAAGUGGAACUGCGAGUGUAGAGGUGAAAUUCGUAGAUAUUCGCAAGAACACCAGUGGCGAAGGCGGCUUACUGGUCCGGUUCUGACGCUGAGGCGCGAAAGCGUGGGGAGCAAACAGGAUUAGAUACCCUAGUAGUCC
rnacentral:rRNA from 1 species